GACGGAGGAUGCAAGCGUUAUCCGGAAUGAUUGGGCGUAAAGCGUCCGCAGGUGGCCGUUCAAGUCUGCUGUCAAAGACCGGGGCUUAACUUCGGAAAGGCAGUGGAAACUGAACAGCUAGAGUAUGGUAGGGGCAGAGGGAAUUCCUGGUGUAGCGGUGAAAUGCGUAGAGAUCAGGAAGAACACCCGUGGCGCAAGCGGCCACCUGGCCAAGAGCUGACGCUGAGGCACGAGAGCGUGGGGAGCGAACCGG
rnacentral:rRNA from 1 species